rnacentral:rRNA from 1 species
AUUGAACGCUGGCGGCAGGCUUAACACAUGCAAGUCGAGCGAGCGGCGGACGGGUGAGUAAUGUCUGGGAAACUGCCUGAUGGAGGGGGAUAACUACUGGAAACGGUCGCUAAUACCGCAUACCAUCAGAUGUGCCCAGAUGGGCUUAGCUAGUUGGUGGGGUAAUGGCUCACCAAGGCGACGAUCCCUAGCUGGUCUGAGAGGAUGACCAGCCACACUGGAACUGAGACACGGUCCAGACGCCUACGGGAGGCAGCAGGGGGGAAUAUUGCACAAGGGGCGCAAGCCUGAUGCAGCCAUGCCGCGUGUAUGAAGAAGGCCUUCGGGUUGUAAAGUACUUUCAGCGAGGAGGCGUUACUCGCAGAAGAAGCACCGGCUAACUCCGUGCCAGCAGCCGCGGUAAUAC